GGGUUGUGAGGUUAAGCGACUAAGCGUACACGGUGGAUGCCCUGGCAGUCAGAGGCGAUGAAGGACGUGCUAAUCUGCGAUAAGCGUCGGUGAGGUGAUAUGAACCGUUAUAACCGGCGAUUUCCGAAUGGGGAAACCCAGUGUGAUUCGUCACACUAUCAUUAACUGAAUCCAUAGGUUAAUGAGGCGAACCGGGGGAACUGAAACAUCUAAGUACCCCGAGGAAAAGAAAUCAACCGAGAUUCCCCCAGUAGCGGCGAGCGAACGGGGAGGAGCCCAGAGCCUGAAUCAGUGUGUGUGUUAGUGGAAGCGUCUGGAAAGGCGCGCGAUACAGGGUGACAGCCCCGUACACAAAAAUGCACAUACUGUGAGCUCGAUGAGUAGGGCGGGACACGUGGUAUCCUGUCUGAAUAUGGGGGGACCAUCCUCCAAGGCUAAAUACUCCUGACUGACCGAUAGUGAACCAGUACCGUGAGGGAAAGGCGAAAAGAACCCCGGCGAGGGGAGUGAAAAAGAACCUGAAACCGUGUACGUACAAGCAGUGGGAGCCUCUUUAUGGGGUGACUGCGUACCUUUUGUAUAAUGGGUCAGCGACUUAUAUUCUGUAGCAAGGUUAACCGAAUAGGGGAGCCGAAGGGAAACCGAGUCUUAACUGGGCGUUAAGUUGCAGGGUAUAGACCCGAAACCCGGUGAUCUAGCCAUGGGCAGGUUGAAGGUUGGGUAACACUAACUGGAGGACCGAACCGACUAAUGUUGAAAAAUUAGCGGAUGACUUGUGGCUGGGGGUGAAAGGCCAAUCAAACCGGGAGAUAGCUGGUUCUCCCCGAAAGCUAUUUAGGUAGCGCCUCGUGAAUUCAUCUCCGGGGGUAGAGCACUGUUUCGGCAAGGGGGUCAUCCCGACUUACCAACCCGAUGCAAACUGCGAAUACCGGAGAAUGUUAUCACGGGAGACACACGGCGGGUGCUAACGUCCGUCGUGAAGAGGGAAACAACCCAGACCGCCAGCUAAGGUCCCAAAGUCAUGGUUAAGUGGGAAACGAUGUGGGAAGGCCCAGACAGCCAGGAUGUUGGCUUAGAAGCAGCCAUCAUUUAAAGAAAGCGUAAUAGCUCACUGGUCGAGUCGGCCUGCGCGGAAGAUGUAACGGGGCUAAACCAUGCACCGAAGCUGCGGCAGCGACACUAUGUGUUGUUGGGUAGGGGAGCGUUCUGUAAGCCUGUGAAGGUGUACUGUGAGGUAUGCUGGAGGUAUCAGAAGUGCGAAUGCUGACAUAAGUAACGAUAAAGCGGGUGAAAAGCCCGCUCGCCGGAAGACCAAGGGUUCCUGUCCAACGUUAAUCGGGGCAGGGUGAGUCGACCCCUAAGGCGAGGCCGAAAGGCGUAGUCGAUGGGAAACAGGUUAAUAUUCCUGUACUUGGUGUUACUGCGAAGGGGGGACGGAGAAGGCUAUGUUGGCCGGGCGACGGUUGUCCCGGUUUAAGCGUGUAGGCUGGUUUUCCAGGCAAAUCCGGAAAAUCAAGGCUGAGGCGUGAUGACGAGGCACUACGGUGCUGAAGCAACAAAUGCCCUGCUUCCAGGAAAAGCCUCUAAGCAUCAGGUAACAUCAAAUCGUACCCCAAACCGACACAGGUGGUCAGGUAGAGAAUACCAAGGCGCUUGAGAGAACUCGGGUGAAGGAACUAGGCAAAAUGGUGCCGUAACUUCGGGAGAAGGCACGCUGAUAUGUAGGUGAAGCGACUUGCUCGUGGAGCUGAAAUCAGUCGAAGAUACCAGCUGGCUGCAACUGUUUAUUAAAAACACAGCACUGUGCAAACACGAAAGUGGACGUAUACGGUGUGACGCCUGCCCGGUGCCGGAAGGUUAAUUGAUGGGGUUAGCGGUAACGCGAAGCUCUUGAUCGAAGCCCCGGUAAACGGCGGCCGUAACUAUAACGGUCCUAAGGUAGCGAAAUUCCUUGUCGGGUAAGUUCCGACCUGCACGAAUGGCGUAAUGAUGGCCAGGCUGUCUCCACCCGAGACUCAGUGAAAUUGAACUCGCUGUGAAGAUGCAGUGUACCCGCGGCAAGACGGAAAGACCCCGUGAACCUUUACUAUAGCUUGACACUGAACAUUGAGCCUUGAUGUGUAGGAUAGGUGGGAGGCUUUGAAGUGUGGACGCCAGUCUGCAUGGAGCCGGCCUUGAAAUACCACCCUUUAAUGUUUGAUGUUCUAACGUUGGCCCCUGACCGGGGUUGCGGACAGUGUCUGGUGGGUAGUUUGACUGGGGCGGUCUCCUCCUAAAGAGUAACGGAGGAGCACGAAGGUUGGCUAAUCCUGGUCGGACAUCAGGAGGUUAGUGCAAUGGCAUAAGCCAGCUUGACUGCGAGCGUGACGGCGCGAGCAGGUGCGAAAGCAGGUCAUAGUGAUCCGGUGGUUCUGAAUGGAAGGGCCAUCGCUCAACGGAUAAAAGGUACUCCGGGGAUAACAGGCUGAUACCGCCCAAGAGUUCAUAUCGACGGCGGUGUUUGGCACCUCGAUGUCGGCUCAUCACAUCCUGGGGCUGAAGUAGGUCCCAAGGGUAUGGCUGUUCGCCAUUUAAAGUGGUACGCGAGCUGGGUUUAGAACGUCGUGAGACAGUUCGGUCCCUAUCUGCCGUGGGCGCUGGAGAACUGAGGGGGGCUGCUCCUAGUACGAGAGGACCGGAGUGGACGCAUCACUGGUGUUCGGGUUGUCAUGCCAAUGGCACUGCCCGGUAGCUAAAUGCGGAAGAGAUAAGUGCUGAAAGCAUCUAAGCACGAAACUUGCCCCGAGAUGAGUUCUCCCUGACUCCUUGAGAGUCCUGAAGGAACGUUGAAGACGACGACGUUGAUAGGCCGGGUGUGUAAGCGCAGCGAUGCGUUGAGCUAACCGGUACUAAUGAACCGUGAGGCUUAACCUUACAACGCCGAAG
rnacentral:rRNA from 1 species